ensembl:lncRNA
UCUGUGAAAUAUGUUUCUCCUAUGGCUCUCCUCCAAGGAUCCCUUCUACUCUCUGAAAUAGCCAAGAGCRCUAAGACAUAUGUGGCAAGAGACUGGAUAUUUUAAGAAUUGAAGGAAAGGUAUCUCCAUGGCCCUGUGCCUGCCAGAAAACUGGACUGCAGAAUGUUUCCUCCUCCAUGGCAUGGAGUCACGUGUGGAGGUGCUCCGGGAAUUCCUAGAACCUUGUGUUCACCUUGAGUUGGGACAGGCUGCUGCGAAAUCCCCUGGUGAGACAGCAGAGGAUCCUGGAGUCUCCAGAUCUGUGGUCUGCCUCAACAUGACUUCUCUAUGAGAUUUUUCUAAAUUAAUUCAAUUCUCUCUUUUAUGUGCCUGCUUAUUAUAACAUUUUGCCUCCUUCUUAAACGUGCUUCACGUAAAAGAAAAGGGAAAAUGAUUCAACAACAGUUAUAGUAAUGUUCCACUUGUGCAUUUUGUUUUAUAUGUGCUAUGUCUGGCUGUGUUUCAAGURAUUGUAGAGAUACUCAAAACAUUUUUAAUUCUCCCAGUUGAAAGUGGAAAGUACAGGGCUGUGAAGAACACAGAGAAAAUUAAACUUUAGAAUUUAAAU